CAGUAGCCGCGGUAAUACGUAGGGUCCGAGCGUUGUCCGGAAUUAUUGGGCGUAAAGGGCUCGUAGGCGGUUUGUUGCGUCGGGAGUGAAAACCCAGGGCUUAACUUUGGGCUUGCUUUCGAUACGGGCAGACUUGAGGCAUUGAGGGGAGAACGGAAUUCCUGGUGUAGCGGUGAAAUGCGCAGAUAUCAGGAGGAACACCGGUGGCGAAGGCGGUUCUCUGGGCAUGUUCUGACGCUGAGGAGCGAAAGUGUGGGGAGCGAACAGGAUUAGAUACCCCCGUAGUCCCUGUCUCUUAUAC
rnacentral:rRNA from 1 species